AUUUUUUGGGGUUUUUGGGUUUUCGGGGUGGAUUUUGGGGGUUUUCGGGGUGGUUUUUUUUGUUUUUUGGGGGUGGUUUUUGGGGUUUUUUCGCCGGCCGGGUUUUAUUUUGGGGCGAUUUCUGCGUUUUUCGGGGCGCAGGCUCGGGGCUGCAGCUGCCGGCCCCGGCGCAGGCGGCGCUGCAGCAGCUCAACGGGGCCCUCACCCCCCUCGGGGGGCUCAACCCCGCCGCCCUGACAGGUAAAAUCGGGGGGACCCCAAAAUUCGGGGGGCGGGACCCAAAAUUUGGGGGGUGGGACCCCGAAUUUGGGGGUUUUGCCCAAACCCGGGCAGAUUUUGGGGCCAUUUUGGGCAAAUUUGAGGCAUUUUUUGAUGAAAUUUGGGAUAAUUCUGAGGAAUUUUGGGAAAAAUUUUGGGAAUUUGGGGAUUCCCAAAUUUUGGCCCCUCCCCGACCCCAAAUUUCCCCUCCCCCACCCCCAAACCCGGGCAGAUUUUGGGGCCACUUUGGGGCCAUUUUGGGUCGUUUUUGGGUCGUUUUCCGCGGGAAUUNNNNNNNNNNUUUUGGGGUUUUCGGGGUGGAUUUUUUGGGGUUUUUGGGUUUUCGGGGUGGAUUUUGGGGGUUUUCGGGGUGGUUUUUUUUGUUUUUUGGGGGUGGUUUUUGGGGUUUUUUCGCCGGCCGGGUUUUAUUUUGGGGCGAUUUCUGCGUUUUUCGGGGCGCAGGCUCGGGGCUGCAGCUGCCGGCCCCGGCGCAGGCGGCGCUGCAGCAGCUCAACGGGGCCCUCACCCCCCUCGGGGGGCUCAACCCCGCCGCCCUGACAGGUAAAAUCGGGGGGACCCCAAAAUUCGGGGGGCGGGACCCAAAAUUUGGGGGGUGGGACCCCGAAUUUGGGGGUUUUGCCCAAACCCGGGCAGAUUUUGGGGCCAUUUUGGGCAAAUUUGAGGCAUUUUUUGAUGAAAUUUGGGAUAAUUCUGAGGAAUUUUGGGAAAAAUUUUGGGAAUUUGGGGAUUCCCAAAUUUUGGCCCCUCCCCGACCCCAAAUUUCCCCUCCCCCACCCCCAAACCCGGGCAGAUUUUGGGGCCACUUUGGGGCCAUUUUGGGUCGUUUUUG
rnacentral:lncRNA from 1 species